CCUACGGGAGGCAGCAGUCGAGAAUCAUUCACAAUGGGGGAAACCCUGAUGGAGCGACGCCGCGUGGGGGAAUGAAGGUCUGCGGAUUGUAAACCCCUGUCAUGUGGGAGCAAAUUAAAAAGAUAGUACCACAAGAGGAAGAGACGGCUAACUCGGUGCAAGCAGCCGCGGUAAUACAGAGGUCUCAAGCGUUGUUCGGAAUCACUGGGCGUAAAGCGUGCGUAGGCUGUUUCGUAAGUCGUGUGUGAAAGGCGCGGGCUCAACCCGCGGACGGCACAUGAUACUGCGAGACUAGAGUAUUGGAGGGUGAACCGGAAUUCUCGGUGUAGCAGUGAAAUGCGUAGAUAUCGAGAGGAACACUCGUGGCGAAGGCGGGUUCCUGGACAUUACCUGACGCUGCGGCACGAAGGCCUGGGGAGCGAACUGGAUUAGAUACCCGGGUAGUC
rnacentral:rRNA from 1 species